GACGAACGCUGGCGGCGUGCUUAACACAUGCAAGUCGAACGGAAAGGCCUCUUUCGGGGGGUCCUCGAGUGGCGAACGGGCGAGUAACACGUGAGUACCCCGCCCUUGACUUUGUGAUAACUUCAGGAAACUGGGGCUAAUACCGGAUAGGAGAUCCUGCCGCCUGGUGGGGGUUGGAAAGUUUCGGCGGUUGGGGGUGGACUCGCGGCGUAUCCGCUUGUUGGUGGGGUAGUGGCUUACCAACGCCUUGGCGUGUAGCCGGCCUGUGGGGGUGACAGGCGGCAUUGGGACCUAGAUGCGGCACAGACUGCUACGGGUGGCAGCAGUGGGGAAGAUUGCACAAUGGGUGGAGGCCGGAUGCAGCAAGGCUGUGUGCGGGAUGACGGCCUUCUGGUUGUAGACCGCCUUCGGGCAUGACGCAGGUUUGUGUGACGGUAGUCAGUAAAGAAGCACCGGCUAACUUCGUG
rnacentral:rRNA from 1 species